AACGAAUGCUGGCGGCAGGCUUAACACAUGCAAGUCGAACGGGUGUAGCAAUACACCAGUGGCAGACGGGUGAGUAACACGUGGGAACCUUCCUAGAGGUACGGAACAACGCAGGGAAACUUGUGCUAAUACCGUAUACGCUCUUGCGAGGAAAGAUUUAUCGCCUUUAGACGGGCCCGCGUAGGAUUAGGUAGUUGGUGAGGUAACGGCUCACCAAGCCUACGAUCCUUAGCUGAUCUGAGAGGAUGAUCAGCCACACUGGGACUGAGACACGGCCCAGACUCCUACGGGAGGCAGCAGUGGGGAAUCUUGGACAAUGGGCGCAAGCCUGAUCCAGCCAUGCCGCGUGAGUGAAGAAGGCCUUCGGGUUGUAAAGCUCUUUUGUCAGGGACGAUAAUGACGGUACCUGAAGAAUAAGCCCCGGCAAACUUCGUGCCAGCCGCCGCGGUAA
rnacentral:rRNA from 1 species